rnacentral:misc_RNA from 1 species
GAACUGCGAUACAUACUAUGUAUUGUAGAAUUCAGUUUAGCCGGUGAGUAUGCCUGUUUCACAACGCCGUGGCGAUUUAACGUCGCCGAUGAUGGGCCUUGCCUGAAAUUUAAUUGGUAUCAAAUCAGGUAGGACUACUCGUUGAACUUGA